rnacentral:rRNA from 1 species
AUGAUGGCGUUGCUGCCGGAAUUCGAUCCAGCGGACGUGGGCGCCGGCCGCGGCCUCAUCGACCGCCUCACCGCCGACGCCGCGGCGCUGCAGAGGGACGUCCUCACGGAGAUACUCAGGCGGAACUCCCACACCGAGUACCUCCGCCGCUUCCUGGAUCGCGCACCACCAGGCGCCUCGGCCGCCGACCUCCGCGAGGCCUUCAAGGAGCGCGUGCCCGUCGCCGGGUAUGAGGACAUCAAGCCGUACGUGCGCCGCAUCGCCUCCGGCGAGCCGUCCAGCAUCCUCUGCUCCGAGCCCAUCACCCACCUCCUCACAAGCUCGGGCACAUCCGGCGGGCAGCUGAAGCUCUUCCCGUCCACCGCGGAGAAGCUCGACCAGCGGCUGUUCUACAAUGGCGUCCAGGCACUCUUGAGGAAGAUGCAUCUUCAUCCUGAUCAGGGGGACAGACGCGGCAAGGGCAUGUACCUCAUGUUCAUCUUCCCUGGAAGCCUGACCUCGUCCGGCCUGCCUAUCAUGGCAUCCAGCAGUGCCUACUACCACAGCAGCCAGUUCCGGGAGCACGACAUUGGUGGGUUCGGCAGGUGCACCAGUCCCAUCGAGGCGGUCCUCUGCCCAGAUGGCAGGCAGAGCAUGUACUGCCAGCUGCUCUGCGGCCUGCUUGACCGCGGAGUCGUCGACCAUGUCGGCGGCACCUUUGCUAACGCUUUCAUCAGAGGCAUCCAGUUCCUGGAAGACAACUGGGAGGAGAUGUGCUCCAACAUCCGCACUGGGCGUCUCAGCGACUGGAUAACGCAUGCUCCUCUGCGUGAUGCCGUCGCUGCGUGUCACCUGCGAGGACCUGACCCGGCACUGGCCGACGAGAUCGCAGCCGAGUGUGCCAGGAAGCCCUGGGAUGGGAUAGUCAGGAGGCUCUGGCCAGGAGCACGGUACAUCCUCGCCAUUGUCACCGGUUCGAUGUCACAGUACAUUCCAGUUCUUGAGAGUAAUGGUGCUGGGCUGCCAUUGGUGUCGCCCAUGUACGUGUGUACAGAGUGCGCCGCGGGGAUCAAUCUGAACCCUCUUGAUCUACCUUCUGCUGUGUCGUACGCAUUGCUUCCAAACAUUGCCUACUUCGAGUUUGCAGAGGUCACGCAUGGUGACGAUGAAAAGGUGCAAGCGAGUACUGGUUUGUAUGACAAUUUGGACGAGUUGAAGCUUGUGGAUCUUGUGGAUGUCAAAAUUGGUCGGCGCUACGAGCUGGUUGUCACCACCUUUGCAGGUCUUUACAGAUACCGAGUGGGUGACCUUCUUACUGUGUGCGGAUUCUACAACGCAACGCCACUGUUCCGCUUCACUGGACGGUGUGGUGUCAUCUUAAAAAUAGACUACGAGAGUAUAAGCGAGGAGGAUCUCCUGAAGGCCAUUUCACAAGCAUACGAGCUGCAUCUUAGGCCCCUUGGUUACAUGCUUGGUGGCAGCACUGCAUAUGCAGACAUAUCCACCUUGCCGGGCCACUACGUCCUGUUCUGGGAGCUAGUCAGUGGAGAGGGUAACCAUGUCACGACUGAUAUCGAUCGAGCUGUCAUGGAGAAUUGCUGUUUGGCCGUGGAGGAAUGCUUUGAUCAGAUGUACCGUGAAAGCAGGCGCCGAGGGUCGAUCACAGCACUCGAGAUAAGGGUACUUGAGCGUGGCGCAUUUGAUGCUCUCAUGGACUUGUUUCUGUCCAGAGGCACAUCGGCCAGUCAGUACAAGACUCCAACGGCUAUUCGAUCAGAAGAAGCGCUGCUGGUGUUGGAGGAGAGGGUGUCAGGAAGGUACUUUAGCCAAUAG